AUUAGCUAGUUGGUGAGGUAACGGCUCACCAAGGCCACGAUGCAUAGCCGACCUGAGAGGGUGAUCGGCCACACUGGGACUGAGACACGGCCCAGACUCCUACGGGAGGCAGCAGUAGGGAAUCUUCGGCAAUGGACGAAAGUCUGACCGAGCAACGCCGCGUGAGUGAAGAAGGUUUUCGGAUCGUAAAACUCUGUUGUUAGAGAAGAACAAGGAUGAGAGUAGAACGUUCAUCCCUUGACGGUAUCUAACCAGAAAGCCACGGCUAACUACGUGCCAGCAGCCGCGGUAAUACGUAGGUGGCAAGCGUUGUCCGGAUUUAUUGGGCGUAAAGCGAGCGCAGGCGGUUUCUUAAGUCUGAUGUGAAAGCCCCCGGCUCAACCGGGGAGGGUCAUUGGAAACUGGGAGACUUGAGUGCAGAAGAGGAGAGUGGAAUUCCAUGUGUAGCGGUGAAAUGCGUAGAUAUAUGGAGGAACACCAGUGGCGAAGGCGGCUCUCUGGUCUGUAACUGACGCUGAGGCUCGAAAGCGUGGGGAGCGAACAGGAUUAGAUACCCUGGUAGUCCACGCCGUAAACGAUGAGUGCUAAGUGUUGGAGGGUUUCCGC
rnacentral:rRNA from 1 species